GAGUAAAGAUUUCGGUCGCUUUGGGAGGAGCUCGCUUACUAUCAGCUUGUUGGUAGGGUAAUGGCCUACCAAGGCUAUGACGGUUAGGGGGUGUGAGAGCAUGACCCCCAGCAUUGGCACUGAAACACUGGCCAAACACCUACGGGUGGCUGCAGUCGAGAAUCUUCCACAAUGGGGGAAACCCUGAUGGAGCGAUGCUGCGUGCGGGAUGAAGGCCUUCGGGUUGUAAACCGCUUUUGUAGGGGACGAAAUUUUUGACGGUACCCUUUCGAAUAAGAGGUUGCUAACUCUGUGCCAGCAGCAGCGGUAAUACAGAGACCUCAAGCGUUAUCCGGAUUUACUGGGCGUAAAGCGUCUGUAGGGGGUUUAUUAAGUUCCAAGUAAAAUUUCAAGGCUCAACUUUGAAUUCGCUUGGAAAACUAAUAAACUGGAGUCUAGCAGAGGUGCAUGGAACUUGUGGUGUAGGAGUGAAAUCCGUUGAUAUCACAAGGAACACCAAAGGCGAAGGCAUUGCACUGGGCUAGCACUGACCCUGAGAGACGAAAGCGUGGGGAGCAAAACGGAUUAGAUACCCGUGUAGUCCACGCCCUAGACGAUGAAUGCUAAAUGUUCGGGGAUUCGACCCCCUGGGUGUUACAGCUAACGCGUUAAGCAUUCCGCCUGGGAAGUACGGCCGCAAGGCUAAAACUCAAAGGAAUAGACGGGGAUCCGCACAAGCGGUGGAGCGUCUGGUUUAAUUCGACAGUAAGCGUGGUACCUCACCAGGGUUUGACAUCCCUUGACAGCCUUGGGAACAAGGUUUCCUUCGGGCAAGGUGACAGGUGCUGCAUGGUCGUCGUCAGUUCGUGCCGUGAGGUGUUCCGUUAAGUCGGGAAACGAACGAAACCCCUAUUGCAUGUUACAAUUUCUCAUGCAAGACUGCCCGGAUAUACUGGGAGGAAGGUGGGGAUGACGUCAGAUCUGCAUGGUCCUUAUACCCUGGGCGACACAGGCGCUACAAUGGCAGAGACAAAGGGUUGCAAAACCGCAAGGUGAAGCUAAUCCCAAAAACUUUGUCUAAGUUCGGAUUGAAGGCUGCAAUUCGCCUUCAUGAAGCUGGAAUCGCUAGUAAUCGUGAAUCAGCCACGUCACGGUGAAUAUGUUCCCGGAUCUUGUACUCACCGCCCGUCACACCAAGAGAGUUGGUAGCUCCCGAAG
rnacentral:rRNA from 1 species